ACAACAUUUGGACCGUCGGUCUACCGAGCAAUAUCAUCCGCUCGGUGGAAGAUCUUCCCUUGUCGU
rfam:Bombyx mori DNA, contig: Bm_scaf160_contig40609, strain: p50T/Dazao, build 2, whole genome shotgun sequence.